GAUGAACGCUGGCGGCGUGCCUAAUACAUGCAAGUCGAGCGAACGGACGAGAAGCUUGCUUCUCUGAUGUUAGCGGCGGACGGGUGAGUAACACGUGGAUAACCUACCUAUAAGACUGGGAUAACUUCGGGAAACCGGAGCUAAUACCGGAUAAUAUUUUGAACCGCAUGGUUCAAAAGUGAAAGACGGUCUUGCUGUCACUUAUAGAUGGAUACGCGCUGCAUUAGCUAGUUGGUAAGGUAACGGCUUACCAAGGCAACGAUGCAUAGCCGACCUGAGAGGGUGAACGGCCACACUGGAAGUGAGACACGGUCCAGACUCCGACGGGAGGCAGCAGUAGGGAAUCUUCCGCAAGGGGCGAAAGCCUGACGGAGCAACGUCGCGUGAGUGAUGAAGGUCUUCGGAUCGUAAAACUCUGUUAGUAGUGAAGAACAUAUGUGUAAGUAACUGUGCACAUCUUGACGGUACCUAAUCAGAAAGCCACGGCUAACUACGUG
rnacentral:rRNA from 1 species